GCAGGGAUAGCUCAGUUGGGAGAGCGUCAGACUGAAGAUCUAAAGGUCACGUGUUCGCUCCAUGUUCACCGCA
rfam:Ipomoea nil DNA, scaffold: scaffold2144, cultivar: Tokyo-kokei standard.